AAUCUCGCUUUCUACUAACUACGAGUACACACUACACACUACAUACACACACAGCUGAGUAUGGAGAUGCACUGCAUCCCCCACAACCCGAGAUCAAACAUCAACCAGGUUCUCGGGGUACAGUGCGCCGACAAGCACAGCCUUACCAAACAAGUAAGCUCAAUGCAACAUUCCAGAAGCCCAACAUCGGGGGAACUGGCGUCACUGGACUGGGGCACGAAAAGUAUUAGGAACCGUUUUAUGGUCCCAAACGUACCGUUGACGCCAAAGAGGCAUAGUUUCCAUUGAGAAAGUGUAAAUAUAUUGAACAGACAGCGAAUCAGAAUCCGUGGAAUAGAGUUUUGAGCGGGUUAAGGAAAGUUUUUUGCAAAUUGCAAAUUUCCGAUUGG
rnacentral:lncRNA from 1 species